rnacentral:rRNA from 1 species
CCUACGGGAGGCAGCAGUGAGGAAUCUUCCACAAUGGACGAAAGUCUGAUGGAGCGACACCGCGUGAAGGAUGAAGGCCUAACGGUUGUAAACUUCUUUUCUGAAGGAGCAUAAUGAGAGUACUUCAGGAAUAAGGGACGGCUAAAUACGUGCCAGCAGCCGCGGUAAUACGUAUGUCUCAAGCGUUACCCGGAAUCACUGGGUGUAAAGGGUUCGUAGGCGGUUUGAUAAGUUGGAUAUGAAAGACCGGGGCUCAACCCCGUGUUGGUGUUCAAAACUGUUAAACUAGAAUCAGGGAGAGGUAAGUGGAAUUCUGUGCGUAGGGGUGCAAUCCGUAGAUACACAGAGGAACACCAAAAGCGAAGGCAACUUACUGGAACUGUAUUGACGCUCAUGAACGAAAGCGUGGGUAGCGAAAAGGAUUAGAUACCCUUGUAGUC